AAAAAAAAAAAAGCUUCAUCUAUUCCAGCUCUAACAUAAUACCUAACAUUGUACAUUCCACUAUUAAUGUUUGUAGAAUGAUUACAGACAUUUGAUUUAAAGUAUUUGAGGGGCACCUGAGUGGCUCAGUCGGUUGAGCGUCUCACUCUUGAUUUCAGCCCAGUGCAUGAUCUCAGUUCGUGGAUUCAAGUCCCACAUUGGGCUCCACACUGGCAGUGUAGAGCCUGAUUGGGAUUCUCUCUUUCUGUCCCUCCCAUGUACUCUCACUCAAAAAUAAAUAAACUUUUUAAAAAAUAAUAAAAAUAAAUCAAGUAUUUAAAAAACGUCUCUAGGGGCGCCUGGGUGGCUCAGUCAGUUAAGUGGCCGACUUCAUCUCAGAUCAUGAUCUCAUGGUUUGUGCGUUCGAGCCCCACAUCGGGCUCUGUGCUAACAGCUCAGAGCCUGGAGCCUGCUUCGGAUUCUGUGUCUCCCUCUCUCUCUGCUCCUCCCCUGUUCAUGCUGUCUCUCUCUCUCCUUCAAAAAUAAAUAAAAACAUUAAAAUAAUAAUAAUAAAUUAAAUAAAUAAAAAAUAAAACACAUCUCCAACAUGAAAAAUCAGAAUAAACUGGAAAAAGGAACUCAGAGAAAACAGACAACGCAAAGAACAAAGAAAACCAACCUUCCUUCCUUCCUUCCUUUCUUUCUUUCUUUCUUUCUUUCUUUCUUUCUUUCUUUCUUUCUUUCUUUCUUUCUUUAAAGUAAUCUCUGCACCCAACAUGGGGCUCAAACUCACAACCCAGAGAUCAAGAAUUGCAUGCUCUACUAAUUGAGCCAUCCAGGUGCCUUGAAAACUUUUUUUUAAAAAACUAAUAUCCUUAGAGAAUAAGAAAAUAGUAGAACCAUGAAGCAAGAUUAGAUUGCCAUGAAAAGAGACACUUAGAGAACAAGAAAGAGGACUUAGAAAUCGAGAACAUAAUCAUUAGAAUAAAAAUUCAAUGGAAGGGCUGGUAAAAAAAAGUUAAGAUUUUCCAGAAAGUACUACAAAAAAGACAAGUUUUUGUUAUUGUUGUUUUAAGGAGGAAAAAGAUAAGAAUGGUUCAGGAAGUCUAAUACCUGACUAUGGGAGUUUCAGAAAAAGAACAACCAGGGAGGGAAAAAAUAUCAAAACUGUAUAGGAAACCAUCCCGGAAAUGAGCCCUUUAUUGAAAAGGCUCAGAAUAAUAAGACAGACCUACACCAAGGCACAUUAUUUUGAAAUUUCAGAACACUGAGAAUUAAAAGAUCUUAAGAGCUUUGUCACCCCUUCCUAUUCCUCUCUCCCAAAAAGCCACAGACCUAGGAAGAAUAGCCUUGGAUUUCUAAACAAUGGAAGUGUUCAUUUGUUAGAAAUAAGUUAUAGAAAAGAAAAGUGGUUGCCAUUCAAGAAGAUUGAGAGGUCAGACUAAAGGUAGAGAGCUGCUAUUUUUUCUAACAUGUUAGUAGUAUUUUACUCCUUUUAACAACAUGUAUAUAUUACUUUAGCACAAUUUUUUAAACUUAAUAUUGUCUCUUGAUGACAUCUUUUUCUUUUGUUUAGAGAUUUUAAAGAGAAAUUUUCUAAUAACUAUAACUUCAAAAUUUAUACAGUAUUUACUUUCAAAAGUAAAUUAAACUGCCUAUCAUUUCAAGUAUUCAUAAAUAGCCUAAUAGCUAUCAGUCAGGGGUGCUUCAGAGAUGGUGGGAGGUUGGAACAGGUGAAAUGUAAGUUCCUUAUUAUUUCUUUAGUUUCUGCAAUUUUAAGCCUUAGUCCUUUUUCACACUAGUACUAUUUAUUCCUGCCCUUCUUCCCAAAUCCUGGAAUGAUCUCUACUGUCCUCUCUAUCUAAUUAUGUCUUUUUUCUAAGACCCACUUCAUAGCCACCUCAGUCAAUCUUGAUUGGUGAAUUCUUUGGACUUACAAUUAUCCAUAUGCCUGUUUGGCCUUUAAUUAUAUAUUGUUUUCUAUUACUACAUAUAGGACCUGUUUUUCCUGUGCAUUUAAAAACUUCUUGAAACCAAAGAGUUUGGCUUAUACUAUUUUAGAAUUUAGCAUAGUACUUGAUAUAUAAUGGGCAGUAAAUAUUUAAGUAAUUAUUGAGUGCCUGUUAUAUAUUCUACUAUGGUGAAAUAAGCAUAUAGACCUAUAUCCAAGGAGCUUAGAAUCCUGAAUUAAAGGUUCAAAGUACUAUGUGGUUGGGGCGCCUGGGUGGCCCAGUUGGUUAAGCAUCUGACUUCAGCUCAGGUCAUGAUCUCACGGUUCGUGGGUUCAAGCCCUGGGUUGGGCUGUGUGCUGACAGCUUGGAGCCUAGAGCCUGGAGCCUGCUUCUGAUUCUGUGUCUCCCUCUCUCUCUGCCCCUCCCCUGCUCAUACUCUGUCUCUCUCUCUCUCUCAAAAAUAAAUAAGUGUAAAAAAAUUUU